UUACACAUGCAAGUCGAGCGGUAACAGACAUUUUGAUUUUGCUUGCAAAAUCUCGUGCUGACGAGCGGCGAACGGGUGAGUAACGCGUAGGAAUCUACCUAGUAGAAGGGGAUAGCCCGAGGAAACUCGGAUUAAUACCGUAUACGUCCUUAGGGAGAAAGAGGGCUUAGCUUUGAUGCUCUCGCUAUUAGAUGAGCCUGCGUAAGAUUAGCUUGUUGGUGAGGUAAAGGCUCACCAAGGCGACGAUCUUUAGCUGGUCUGAGAGGACGAUCAGCCACAUUGGGACUGAGACACGGCCCAGACUCCUACGGGAGGCAGCAGUGGGGAAUAUUGGACAAUGGGCGCAAGCCUGAUCCAGCCAUACCGCGUGUGUGAAGAAGGCCUUCGGGUUGUAAAGCACUUUAAGUAAGGAAGAAAAGAAUAUUGUUAAUACCAAUACUCCGUGACAUUACUUACAGAAUAAGGACCGGCUAAUUCCGUGCCAGCAGCCGCGGUAAUACGGAAGGUCCAAGCGUUAAUCGGAAUUACUGGGCGUAAAGCGCGCGUAGGUGGUUUAUUAAGUUGGGUGUGAAAGCCCCGGGCUCAACCUGGGAACUGCAUCCAAAACUGAUUCACUAGAGUACGAAAGAGGAAAGUAGAAUUCACAGUGUA
rnacentral:rRNA from 1 species